rnacentral:rRNA from 1 species
GGUAAUGCCGGAUGCUCCGACUCCUCGCAUGGGGUGUCGGGAAAGAUUUCAUCGGUAUGGGAUGGGGUCGCGUCCUAUCAGGUAGUCGGCGGGGUAACGGCCCACCGAGCCUACGACGGGUAGCCGGCCUGAGAGGGCGACCGGCCACAUUGGGACUGAGAUACGGCCCAGACUCCUACGGGAGGCAGCAGUGGGGAAUAUUGCACAAUGGGCGCAAGCCUGAUGCAGCGACGCCGCGUGCGGGAUGACGGCCUUCGGGUUGUAAACCGCUUUUGAUCGGGAGCAAGCCUUCGGGUGAGUGUACCUUUCGAAUAAGCACCGGCUAACUACGUGCCAGCAGCCGCGGUAAUACGUAGGGUGCAAGCGUUAUCCGGAAUUAUUGGGCGUAAAGGGCUCGUAGGCGGUUCGUCGCGUCCGGUGUGAAAGUCCAUCGCUUAACGGUGGAUCUGCGCCGGGUACGGGCGGGCUGGAGUGCGGUAGGGGAGACUGGAAUUCCCGGUGUAACGGUGGAAUGUGUAGAUAUCGGG